rnacentral:rRNA from 1 species
GAUGAACGCUGGCGGCGUGCCUAAUACAUGCAAGUCGAGCGAACAGAUGAGGAGCUUGCUCCUCUGACGUUAGCGGCGGACGGGUGAGUAACACGUGGAUAACCUACCUAUAAGACUGGGAUCACUUCGGGAAACCGGAGCUAAUACCGGAUAAUCUAUUGAACCGCAUGGUUCAAUAGUGAAAGACGGUUUUGCUGUCACUUAUAGAUGGAUCCGCGCCGCAUUAGCUAGUUGGUAAGGUAACGGCUUACCAAGGCAACGAUGCGUAGCCGACCUGAGAGGGUGAUCGGCCACACUGGAACUGAGACACGGUCCAGACUCCUACGGGAGGCAGCAGUAGGGAAUCUUCCGCAAUGGGCGAAAGCCUGACGGAGCAACGCCGCGUGAGUGAUGAAGGUCUUCGGAUCGUAAAACUCUGUUAUUAGGGAAGAACAAAUGUGUAAGUAACUAUGCACGUCUUGACGGUACCUAAUCAGAAAGCCACGGCUAACUACGUG